rnacentral:lncRNA from 1 species
AUGCUUGGUGCACUCUUUCCUUUGGGAACUGACAAAGGUAUCAACUUUCUUAUAUUUUCCACCUAGGUAGUCCAGGCCCAGCUGGUGUAAAAGGAAGAAAGGGGGAUCAUGGCAGUCCUGGUCCAAAAGGGGCAGCAGGGGCCAAAGGAGCCAAAGGAGAUACUGGACUUAUUGGUCCCCCAGGAGCGAGCGGGAGCAAAGGCGAAAAGGGAGAAGGCUAUCGCAGUCAUUUUAUACGAAUCGCUGGAGGGGGCAGGAGGGGUCGUGUGGAAAUCCUUUACGAGGGCAUCUGGGGAACAAUAUGUGACGACAGCUGGGACACACAAGAUGGCACCGUGGUCUGCCGUAUGUUGGGAUACAGUCGCGCAGUCAGCACCUUCACAGCCAGCGCAGGCACUGGACAAAUUUGGCUUGAUGAUGUGA